GUGACUGCACGUGCACCAAGUCGAGCUGCCAUUUCAGUCGAUAUUACUCCAAGUCUGUUUCGACAUUUGACAACAUUUUUGCAAAAUGCUCAAAGUUUUGAUGUUGAUCGUCGUGGCGGUAGGCCUCUGUUGGAGUGAGGGUCAAAUGUCAUGCGAUGUUUUGAACGACUGUGCAAGUUUCGAGUGCCACUUUGGACUUAAAAUGUGCUACCAGAAGCAAUGCCGAUGUAUGCUUUUGACAGGGAAAAGAUUUGCUUUUCAGAAUAAACUGGAAGGCGCAUGCGUGUCAAACGAAGAGUGCCAUGAGCGAUGUCAGCCUACAGGGUUAUUCUUCGGCAGAUGCAUGAUGGACUACUGUUUCUGCUACACUUUGCCAUGAAUGUGGCCGCCUGACACUGCAGGAGGAAUGAGUUGGCCGAGACCCGUCGUAUGUAGGUUGGCGGAAACUAAACAUUCCUGAAACAUGAAAAUGAAAGCUUAAUUUCAUCGACCA